GCGCCCGUAGCUCAAUUGGAUAGAGCGUCUGACUACGGAUCAGAAGGUUAUGGGUUCGACUCCUCUCGGCCGCACCA
rnacentral:tRNA from 1 species